GAAAUGCGAUAAGUAAUGUGAAUUGCAGAAUUCAGUGAAUCAUCGAAUCUUUGAACGCACAUUGCGCCCGCCAGUAUUCUGGCGGGCAUGCCUGUUCGAGCGUCAUUACAACCCUCAGGCCCCCGGGCCUGGCGUUGGGGAUCGGCGGAAGCCCCCUGCGGGCACAACGCCGUCCCCCAAAUACAGUGGCGGUCCCGCCGCAGCUUCCAUUGCGUAGUAGCUAACACCUCGCAACUGGAGAGCGGCGCGGCCACGCCGUAAAACACCCAACUUCUGAAUGUUGACCUCGAAUCAGGUAGGAAUACCCGCUGUACUUAAGC
rnacentral:misc_RNA from 1 species